UACGUAGGGGGCAAGCGUUGUCCGGAUUUAUUGGGCGUAAAGAGCGUGUAGGCGGCCAGACAGGUCCGUUGUGAAAACUCGAGGCUCAACCUCGAGAUGUCGAUGGAAACCGUCUGGCUAGAGUCCGGAAGAGGAGUGUGGAAUUCCUGGUGUAGCGGUGAAAUGCGCAGAGUAUCAGGAAGAACACCAAUGCGAAAGCAGCUCUCGUGGGAACGGUACUGACGGCUGAGAC
rnacentral:rRNA from 1 species